rnacentral:tRNA from 1 species
CAGGGAGACAACAAAAUGUUUAAAAAAAUUAUUNGNGUCACCUUAGGUCGAUCGGUAUCUCACGUUCUUAAUUUGUUAAGAAUUUCAUUUCCUAAGUUUUUCUAGGUCACACCCAUUAUUUUUCCUGGGCCAUUAGCUCAGGUGGUUAGAGCGCACCCCUGAUAAGGGUGAGGUCCCUGGUUCAAGUCCAGGAUGGCCCAUAUCUCUAUGUUGGGGGUAUAGCUCAGUUGGUAGAGCGCCUGCUUUGCAAGCAGGAUGUCAGCGGUUCGAGUCCGCUUACCUCCACUGAUUACCACCUCUUCCAUAACUGGUAGAAAGGAAAUGUUUUGAGUUGUGAUUAUUAUUCUGAACGAAUCUAGCUUCCUAAUGAAAUCAUUAAGAUGCUGGACUCAUUGAAUUAAUUUCAUUGUUUUCAGAGAACCUUGACAACUGCAUAGAUUUUUUUAAAGACAAUAAGCAUCUUUAAUGAUGCAGAUUUAUUAUUUGUGCGAAUGCAUUAAUAACAAUUCUAUUAAGCUGAUGCUUCAAUUUUUGAAGUUAUU